rnacentral:rRNA from 1 species
AUUGAACGCUGGCGGCAAGCCUAACACAUGCAAGUCGAACGAGUGGCGGACGGGUGAGUAAUGUCUGGGAAACUGCCUGAUGGAGGGGGAUAACUAAUGGAAACGGUAGCUAAUACCGCAUACCAUCGGAUGUGCCCAGAUGGGAUUAGCUAGUAGGUGGGGGAAAGGCUCACGUAGGCGACGAUGCCUAGCUGGUAUGAGAGGAUGACCAGCCACACUGGAACGGAGACACGGUCCAGACUCCUACGUGCUGCAGGAGUGGGGAAUAUUGGACAAUGGGCGCAAGCCUGAUGCAGCCAUUCGGCGUGUAUGAAGGCGGCCUUCGGGUUGUAAAGUACUUUCAGCUGGGAGGCGUUACCCGCAGAAGAAGCGCCGGCUAACUCCGUGCCAGCCGCCGCGGUAAUAC